GAAUCCGCUAAGGAGUGUGUAACAACUCACCUGCCGAAUGAAUUAGCCCUGAAAAUGGAUGGCGCUCAAGCGGGUGGCCGACACCAUGCCGUCUGGGCAAUGUGACUCCCAGAUGAGUAGGAGGGCGUGGCGGCCGUGUCGAAGCGUGCGUGCAGACGUUUGUGGAACGGCCGCUAGUGCAGAUCUUGGUGGUAGUAGCAAGUAUUCAAGCGAGAUCCUUGAAGGGCGAAGCGGGGAAGGGUUCCACGCGAACAUUGAUUGGGCGUGGGUGAGUCGUUCCUAAGCCGAGUGGCAAUUGCUAAGUAGCGGCGAAAGGGAAGCGGGUUGACAUUCCCGCACACGGAUGUGGAGGCGGCGACGCACUUUUUUGUUUGGGGCGAACACGCUGGCGACGGCGCUGGGCAGAGUUGUCUUUUCUGUUUGACCGUUCAGCGCGCGCUGUGUGGAAUCCGCUUGUCGGGAGAAACACGCGUGUGCGGGCAGAGCGCCGGGGCUUUUCCGGCGUCCAGCUCGCCGUCGACGGCCCUUGAAACUUUGCCUGCUGGAAAAUUUUUUUAAGAUCCACGCCGUGGCGUACCGAUCACCGCAUCAGGUCCCCGAGGUGAACAGCCUCUGCUCUAUAUGAAUAAUGCAGGUAAGGGAAGUCGGCA
rnacentral:rRNA from 1 species